rnacentral:rRNA from 1 species
CCCUUAGAUGUUCUGGGCCGCACGCGCGCUACACUGACUGACUCAACGAGUUUACAACCUGUGCCGAAAGGUAUGGGUAAUCUUUUGAAAUUCAGUCGUGAUGGGGCUAGAUUAUUGCAACUAUUAAUCUUCAACGAGGAAUGCCUAGUAAGCGCGAAUCAUCAGUUCGCGUUGAUUACGUCCCUGCCCUUUGUACACACCGCCCGUCGCUCCUACCGAUUGAAUGGUCCGGUGAAAUCUCGGGACGGCGGCUUGGUCGCUUGCGUCCGACUGCUGAAACUUGAUUAAACCAUAUCAUUUAGAGGAAGGUGAAGUCGUANCA